UACAUGGGGUGCAAACGUUGCUCGGAAUUAUUGGGCGUAAAGCGCGCGUAGGCGGUUACUCAAGUCGGAUGUGAAAGCCCUCGGCUUAACUGAGGAAGUGCACCCGAAACUGAGCAGCUAGAGUACUAAAGAGGGUCGCGGAAUUCCCGGUGUAGAGGUGAAAUUCGUAGAUAUCGGGAGGAACACCGGUGGCGAAGGCGGCGACCUGGGUAGAUACUGACGCUGAGGCGCGAAAAGCGUGGGGGAGCAAACAGG
rnacentral:rRNA from 1 species